UGGGCCAAAAUACCAGCAACAGUGUGUGAAAACCUUGUGAAGACUUACAGAAAACGUUUGACCUCUGUCAUUGCCAACAAAGGGUAUAUAACAAAGUAUUGAGAUAAACUUUUGUUAUUGACCAAAUUCUUAUUUUCCACCAUAAUUUGCAAAUAAAUUCAUUAAAAAUCCUACAAUGUGAUUUUCUGGAUUUUUUUUCUCAUUUUGUCUGUCAUAGUUUAAGUGUAUCUAUGAUGACAAUUACAGGCCUCUCUCAUCUUUUUAAGUGGGAGAACUUGCACAAUUGGUGGCUGACUAAAUACUUUUUUUACCCCACUGUAUGCUUUUAUUAAUGUCCCAAAUGACAGGCUAUUCCCUACGUAGUGCACCCUAUUCCCUAGUUUAAACCAAGGCCCGACCCCAUAGUGUGGUGACUCCCUGUGGAUCCCAAGGUGGUUUUCCUGUUUUAGUUACACUAGACAUUUACAUUGAUUCUCUCUCUAUUUGAUGGUAGGAUUCUCUCUAUUUGACGGUAGGAUUCUCUCUCUCUAUUUGACGGUAGGAUUCUCUCUAUUUGACGGUAGGAUUCUCUCUCUCUAUUUGACGGAUUCUCUCUCUAUUUGACGGUAGGAUUCUCUCUAUUU
ensembl:lncRNA